UUUAAAGUCUGACCUGCCCAAUGAGGAUUUGAAUGGCCGCGGUAAUUUGACCGUGCAAAGGUAGCAUAAUCAUUAGUUUUUUAAUUGAAAGCUGGAAUGAACGGUUGGACGAGAAAGUGACUGUCUCAAUUUAAUUGAAUUCUGAAUUUUAUUUUUAAGUUAGAAAGCUUAAAUUUUUUUAAAAGACGAGAAGACCCUAUAGAAUUUUAUACUUUUUUUUAUAAAUAAUUUUUAGUAUUAUAUUUGACUUAUAAAUGAAGGUGUUUUGUUGGGGUGACAGGAAAAUUAAGUAAACUUCUUCUUUUUAGAACCAUUGAUUUAUGAAUAUUUGAUCCAUUUAAGUUUGAUUAAAAGAUAUAAUUACCUUAGGGAUAACAGCGUAAUUUUUUUUGAGAGUUCUUAUCGAAAAAAGAGUUUGCGACCUCGAUGUUGGAUUAAAGUUAACUUAUGGUGUAGGGGCUAUAACGUUAAGUCUGUUCGACUUUUAAAACUUUACAUGAUCUGAGUUUAAACCGGCGUGAGCCAGGUUGGUUUCUAUCUUUAAAUAAUUUAAUUACUUUAGUACGAAAGGACCAGGUAAUUGUAAAAUUUAUUAUAUUCUGAAUUUUAUUA
rnacentral:rRNA from 1 species